rnacentral:rRNA from 1 species
GACGAACGCUGGCGGCGUGCUUAACACAUGCAAGUCGAACGGGUCUGCCCUGUUUUUUGCGGGGUGGGUCAGUGGCGAACGGGUGAGUAACACGUGAGUAACCUGCCCCUCACUUCUGGAUAACCGCUUGAAAGGGUGGCUAAUACGGGGUGUUCUGGCUGUGCCGCAUGGUGUGGCUGGGAAAGAUUCACUUUUGUGGUGUUUUGGUGGGGGAUGGGCUCGCGGCCUAUCAGCUUGUUGGUGGGGUGAUGGCCUGCCAAGGCUUUGACGGGUAGCCGGCCUGGGAGGGUGGGCCGUCACACUGGGACUGAGCUACGGCCCAGACUCCGGCGGGAGGCAGCAGUGGGGGGUAUUGCACAAUGGGCGGAAGCCUGAUGCAGCGACGUCGCGUGAGGGAUGGAGGCCUUCGGGUUGUGAACCUCUUUCGCCGGUGAAGAAGGUCCUGCUCUUUGUGGUGGGGUUGACGGUAGCCGGGUUAUGAAGCGCCGGCUAACUACGUG